rnacentral:rRNA from 1 species
ACGCACGCUGGCGGCGUGCUUAACACAUGCAAGUCGCACGCUGAAGCUCAGCUUUUGUUGGGUGGAUGAGUGGCGAACGGGUGAGUAACACGUGAGUAACCUGCCUCCUUCUUUGGGAUAACGCCCGGAAACGGGUGCUAAUACUGGAUAUUCACUGGUCUUCGCAUGGGGGUUGGUGGAAAGGGUUUUUCUGGUGGGGGAUGGGCUCGCGGCCUAUCAGCUUGUUGGUGGGGUGAUGGCCUACCAAGGCUUUGACGGGUAGCCGGCCUGAGAGGGUGACCGGUCACAUUGGGACUGAGAUACGGCCCAGACUCCUACGGGAGGCAGCAGUGGGGAAUAUUGCACAAUGGGCGCAAGCCUGAUGCAGCGACGCCGCGUGAGGGAUGGAGGCCUUCGGGUUGUGAACCUCUUUCGCUCAUGGUCAAGCCGCAACAAUGGUUGUGGUGAGGGUAGUGGGUAAAGAAGCGCCGGCUAACUACGUG